AUGCCCAGAAAAUAUGGUAAGCUAUGUUAACAAGCCAUAUUAGAUAUCAAGCAUUAAUAUGGAAAUAAACCAGCCCACCUGCACCCAGGUGAAAUAAACAGCUUUAUUGCUCACACAAAGCCUGUUUGGUGGUCUCUUCACAUGGACGCGCAUGAAAUUUGGUGCCGUGACUCGGAUCGGGGGACCUCCCUUGGGAGAUCAAUCCCCUGUCCUCCUGCUCUUUGCUCCGUGAGAAACAUCCACCUAUGGCCUCAGGUCCUCAGACCGACCAGCCCAAGAAACAUCUCACCAAUUUCAAAUCCGACAAAUCCUGCCCUGAUUCUGGGGACCAUGCCUGUGGAGAUGCACAGUUCUACCAUUCAAAAUGACUAUCUGAAAAUACCUCCUAAGAAGGACAAAACUUUUCUUCAGCCAAGAGGGCACUUGUUAAUAUGAUUAGAUACAUAUGUAAUGGUGUCCCCCUCCCCUCUUAGCCCCUCAGUGUGUGUUCUCUCAGUCAGUGUAUCUACAUGCAGGAGACAUUAAAGGAUGGAUGUAACUUCAGACCUUCAUUUCCCCAUAAGUAUUGCUUUCAGAGAAUAUCUAAUGAAGUCACAUGGAUGAAGAUUUCUGUAUCAUUUGUUUCCCAGAAUGGCUCUCCAACUUACAUUUCAUCAUCCACCCACAUAUCCACUUAUCCAUUCAACCUUCAUGUACUGACUGAAAACUCCUCUUAUAUAGUUUUCCUCAGCAGUUUCCUCUUCUGGGGAUUUUCUGCUGUUUUGGUAACCUGUUUUAAUGUUGUAUUUUAUGUGUUCCUAAGGGCAAUGCAAGUUGUUUAAAGAGGCAAUUAUCUCAUGUGAUUUAUGAGAUUUGCUGGACAAAUUCCAAUAAAAAAUGUACUUGAGAAGUAUGUCACAGGUUUAUUGCUGGUAUCAAUAAAGUCUCUAUAGUGUGUGGCAAUCCAUGUUUUAAAAGGAGUUAGCUUUGUGAUCAUAGAUUAUCAAAUCUAAUAUGCCACCAAUUAUAAGAUUUAUUCCAGUUUUUGAGAUGUAAAAAUGUAAAAAAUAAAGGUCAGCAAUUAUUUUAUAAUUUCAUGUAUUGUAAGAUAUAUGUAGAAUCAAAAGACGGUAAAAUGUGAAAUAAAGUGCACCUAAGAAUUGAU
rnacentral:lncRNA from 1 species